UACGGAGGGUGCAAGCGUUAUCCGGAAUUACUGGGUUUAAAGGGUGCGUAGGCGGCUUUAUAAGUCAGGGGUGAAAGCUUGCCGCUUAACGGUAAAAUUGCCUUUGAUACUGUAGAGCUUGAAAGAGGUUGAGGUCAGCAGAAUGUGGCAUGUAGCGGUGAAAUGCAUAGAUAUGCCAUAGAACACCGAUUGCGAAGGCUGCUGGCUGGGCCUACUUUGACGCUGAGGCACGAAAGCGUGGGGAGCGAACAGG
rnacentral:rRNA from 1 species